rnacentral:rRNA from 1 species
UACGAAGGGUGCAAGCGUUAAUCGGAAUUACUGGGCGUAAAGGGUGCGUAGGCGGUCUGUCGCGUCGAAUGUGAAAACCCGGGACUCAACUCCGGGCCUGCAUUCGAUACGGGCAGACUAGAGUUCGGUAGGGGAGACUGGAAUUCCUGGUGUAGCGGUGAAAUGCGCAGAUAUCAGGAGGAACACCGGUGGCGAAGGCGGGUCUCUGGGCCGAUACUGACGCUGAGGAGCGAAAGCGUGGGGAGCAAACAGG